GGCGCUUACCACUUUGUGAUUCAUGACUGGGGUGAAGUCGUAACAAGGUAACCGUAGGGGAACCUGCGGUUGGAUCACCUCCUUA
rnacentral:rRNA from 6 species